UCUGACUCUAGAAGUGCUGUAGGUAUAGCUACUGUGUCACAUGGGUGUCAAUAGCUGUAGAGAGGAGAUAGGCUAUGUCCAUGCUCAGUGUUCCGAUAUAUGAGCACCUGAAUGAUUAGCACCCUAACAUU